rnacentral:rRNA from 1 species
ACCUGCGGAGGAUCAUUAUUGUACAAUGGAGGUGCUGA